rnacentral:rRNA from 1 species
GUUAGGAAUAUUGGACAAUGGGCGCAAGCCUGAUCCAGCCAUGCCGCGUGAGUGAUGAAGGCCUUAGGGUUGUAAAGCUCUUUCAGUGGGGACGAUAAUGACGGUACCCACAGAAGAAGCCCCGGCUAACUUCGUGCCAGCAGCCGCGGUAAUACGAAGGGGGCUAGCGUUGUUCGGAUUUACUGGGCGUAAAGCGCACGUAGGCGGAUCGUUAAGUCGGGGGUGAAAUCCUGGAGCUCAACUCCAGAACUGCCUUCGAUACUGGCGAUCUUGAGUCCGGAAGAGGUGAGUGGAACUCCUAGUGUAGAGGUGGAAUUCGUAGAUAUUAGGAAGAACACCAGUGGCGAAGGCGGCUCACUGGUCCGGUACUGACGCUGAGGUGCGAAAGCGUGGGGAGCAAACAGGAUUAGAUACCCUUGUAGUCC